GGAAGGAUGAGAAGCUUCGACUAAGGUUCGACUAAGGUUCGACUAAGGUUCGACUCGAGCGAAGCGAGAGAACGUUGCCGCAGGCAACGGCCCGAAGGGCGAAGCGCUUUAGCGCCGAGUAAUCCUUCCCCCACCACUG
rnacentral:sRNA from 1 species